AUCUCGUUAUUUUUUAAAAGAUGACACUUGACUUAAUUUCACUUAUUACCCAAAUUUAAGGGAUUUGUUGAAAAAAAUAAAUUUGAUUGAAUUGCGUUUUCUUCCUUUUAAAUACCCAACACACAGAUCUCUCUCAAAUCUCUCUUCCCUCUCUUCCUUUUCCUCUUCACUGCCAACAAGAACCGGAGAACUAACGACCGGCCAACACCAUCAUGCGCUGCCCCUUUUCCCCUUUCCCUCCUCCGCUGCUCCACACGGGCUCGCCGGAGGUGAUGACCGGCGAGCUUCCAGCCAACACCAAAAUGACCCAUCUCUCUCCUUCCUUUGUCGCGCCACGCCAGAUCUGACCACCGGCAGGCAAACUUCGGCCAAAUGCACCAUCACGUGUCGUCGCCGGAUUAAACCGCCGAAUGAUCGGCGAACAAUAUCAACGUCCAGCCACACAUCCAUGUGUCUCCCUUUUCUUUCUCUUUCUGCCACUGUCACAUCAACAACGGGCCUGACUUGGCCAGCUUCUCAACGUUUGAGUCGCUGGUUCGACGAAAGCCGUUGAAGCAACGCCGCUCCGGUCACUGCUUUGUUUUUAUAGGAUACAUUAAAUAUGAUUGUUUGAUUUUAGUUUCCCAGAUCUGGUUGGAGUUACUCAUUCUCCGAUCGAGCUCUAUUGAAAUCGGCAAGGCUCCGCCAUUCACUGUUUUUAUGACUUUGUUGAUUACUUUGACUAUUUUCUUUUAAUUUUUUAAGGUGUUCUCUUACAAAAUUGGCCAGAUUAAUACCUCUUGUAUUUUUAAAUUUUAUAUUUGAUUAAUUGAUUGUUGGCUUCUGAGAAAGUUGAACUCCAGUGAACGUUAUUGCUUUUGACUCCAUCCGUGAGCCUUUAUUUGAUUAUUCAUGGUUAUCAUGUUUACAUUUCCGUGUGUUGUUUUUUACCAUGAUUGUAAUAUUGUUUGUAGUUACUUUUGUUAUUAUGUCAAUUACUUGUUGCUUUGAUUAUUCAUUAUUUUAUUUUUUGUCAACUUUAUUAUUUUACAUAAUGACAUUAUCUUUCUAUCGGAUAUGUGAGGUUACUCCACAACAGAAGAUGGAUUUUACUUUUCAAAUUUACUUACUUUAUACAAGUGCAAAUAAUGGCCAAUGAAGAAAUUUUUGUCGAUUUUCAAGGUCUCCACAAAUAAAAGACAGAUGUUAUGUACAUCAAUACGUAAUAAAUUCGGGCGAUGAUGAAAACUUUAUAAUAUCAUGAUAACACAAAGAAUUUUAUAAUUCGUAUCUUGGCAAGAGGUUUAGGAUGACCGAUAAAUCGAGCAACUAUUUCGUAGCCAUAGCGUAUUUAAAAUUAAUUCGAGCUCAUGUUUUAACAAAAAUAAUUUUAUUUUUUAUGUACAUUUGUAUACAUAUUUCACACAUAGUUCUUAAUUUAUUUUACUUUGUUACUAACGUGUUUCUACAUGUUCUUGAAAAUACUUACAUUCAAAAGAAUUUUAUACUUAUAUUUUUCUGUAUAAAUUGUAUACAUUAAGUAUAGUGAAACAUUACCUUUUUAGGCAUUGGGCAG
rnacentral:lncRNA from 1 species